AGAAAGACCAGAAUGGGCUCAAGGGCAGGUUCAUCACUGAUCUUAAAGGGAGGGGUGUGUUCAGCUGUACUGACUUUGAGAAAGGAGAUUUCCUGCUGGAAUACUGAGGAGACCUCAUCAGCAAAGAAGAAUCUCGAGAUGACUGUUCUCUUGGGCGUCUUGUAAACGAUGACCAUAUUAACCCAAACAGCAGGAUGAAGACGAUUCGUGUGGAUGGAAAACCUCACUUAUGUUUAUUUGCCACAAGGAGCAUCUGUCCUGGUGAAGAGAUCACAUAUGAUUACGGUGAUUCUGAUUGGCCAUGGAGAUGCACGACUUUUCUAUAGUGUGCUUGAACCGUCCACUGUUGAAGUCAACACUCUGUCCCAGUCAGAAGACACAGAUGUAUAGAAGGUGACUCUGAAGAAGGACCGGUUACUAUUGGAUGAUCCGGACUGUGUUGAGCAGAUGUCACCUGUCAAAGAGCAUGUGUUGAAUGAGGAGCAGAGCUUUUGUGCUCCGCUGAAGGAGUUAAGGAGGUAUUCACAUGUUUCGGAUGAACUGUUAUUUCAGUGCAACAGUGAAUGCUCUGAAGUCUGAUGUCUUCAUGGGCUGUGAUAUACUUAGCUGUUACCAAAUAUAAGAUCAACAUGACAGAUUCUGAUGGUGAUCCUGAAGAAAGUGAUUCUGAUGAUGAUGAUGCUCUUGCUGGAGCUGCAGGAGACUCCAGUAAUGCUGGUGUUCAGAAGAUGCCCAUUGAGAGCACCACUGAAGUUCCUUAAGAGAGUGAGAGUGAUGCAGAAACUGAAAACCCACGGAGAGGGCAGAAAGUGUCCUGCUCAAACGCUGAAGUUACAGCUGUAAUCAAACAUUUUAGGACCACAGAGCUAAAGGAAAACUGGCCACAAUGACUGAAAACCAGCAGUGUAAAACUGCUGAGGAUCCAGUUUUGGUGAGAUGCAGUGCACAGAAAAUACAGGAUUUUGUAAGAAAUUGAGGAAUUAUCUUAAAAAGGAAAACCCAAAGCAAGUGAUGUUACAGGACAUCCUGUGUCUUCUUGAUGCCAUUCUAUUAUCAUUAGCACUUUGGUUGUUGUUUUUAUUUCCCAUAGUGCAAAACUGUUAUGGCAGCAGUUAAUACAAAUAUCUCCAUGUAGAAAUCAAGUUCAACUGUUAGUUUGUCAAAAAAUGUCAAAAUUCUGUAAAUUUCUCGUUGAUUUUUGGAUGACCUGUCCCUUAAAGAGUAUUUCACUUCCAGAAGGAAAACUCUGUCAUCAUGUACUCACCCUCCACUUGAUCCAGACCUGC